GUGCCAAGGCUGCAAGGCGCUGAGGGGAGAGGCGCCGCCGUCAGCGCCGCCGCAGCUGGGACCCGUUAGAGCGGAAGCGCCGCCGCCACCGCCGCCUUUGCUGUCCCCCGGCCUCUAGUUCCCCGCAGGUGGGAGGUGGGAGCCAUGUCGAAACGGCUCCGGAGCAGCGAGGUGUGCGCUGACUGCAGCGGGCCGGGUGAGUCGCACCGGCCGGGCCCGCUCCCCUCUGCUUUCCUGGCCCGGACCCCUACCCCGGGGCCGCCCCCUCAGAUCCUUCCUGGGCAUCAGUAAAUAGGGGAACGUUUUUAUGUGAUGAGUGCUGCAGUGUCCAUCGGAGUCUAGGGCGCCAUAUCUCCCAAGUGAGGCAUCUGAAACACACACCGUGGCCUCCAACACUGCUUCAGAUGGUUGAGACCUUGUAUAAUAACGGUGCUAACUCUAUAUGGGAGCAUUCUUUGCUGGACCCUGCGUCUAUUAUGAGUGGAAGACGUAAAGCUAAUCCACAGGAUAAAGUACAUCCCAAUAAAGCGGAAUUCAUCAGAGCCAAGUAUCAGAUGUUAGCGUUCGUCCAUCGCUUGCCCUGCCGGGAUGACGAUAGUGUGACUGCCAAAGAUCUUAGCAAGCAACUCCAUUCGAGCGUGAGAACAGGGAAUCUUGAAACCUGUUUGAGACUGUUAUCUUUAGGAGCACAAGCCAACUUCUUUCAUCCUGAAAAAGGAAACACCCCACUCCAUGUUGCCUCCAAAGCAGGGCAGAUUUUACAGGCUGAAUUAUUGGCAGUAUAUGGAGCAGACCCAGGCACACAGGAUUCUAGUGGGAAAACUCCCGUUGAUUAUGCAAGGCAAGGAGGGCACCAUGAGCUGGCAGAGCGCCUCGUGGAAAUACAGUAUGAGCUAACGGACAGACUAGCCUUCUAUCUCUGUGGCAGGAAACCAG
rnacentral:lncRNA from 1 species